rnacentral:rRNA from 1 species
UACGAAGGGGGCUAGCGUUGUUCGGAAUUACUGGGCGUAAAGGGCGCGUAGGCGGCCCGCUAAGUCGAACGUGAAAUCCCCGGGCUCAACCCGGGAACUGCGUCCGAUACUGGCGGGCUUGAAUCCGGGAGAGGGAUGUGGAAUUCCAGGUGUAGCGGUGAAAUGCGUAGAUAUCUGGAGGAACACCGGUGGCGAAGGCAGCUCGCUGGGACGGUACUGACGCUGAGGCGCGAAAGCGUGGGGAGCAAACAGG